GGUGCCCCGGGUUCGGUGAUAAGUAAUUGGACCCGACAGUCAAUAGCCCAGGGGGCUGUCUCUAGCAGUGGUGAGCAUGCCUAGUUUACUAGGAAGCCUAAAGCUGCAAUACGGCGCCCACGUUACAUUCUGGGGUUCCAUUGACGCCAUCGAGUUCGGGGUACUU
rnacentral:other from 1 species